AUGGGGUAUCCAGAAUCUAUAAAAUCCAGAAUCUAUAACAAGGCAUGUUUGUGUUCUUGUCUUCUACAGGACCGGAGUUGGCGGGGGGCAUCUGUUGCCCCUGUAAUGGCUUCAGAUUUGGGAAAUGACCCUAUAUUGGAUCCUCCAUCUGUACCUCGGGCACCUCUGAAAAAAGCGAACAGAAAGGGAGGUUUGCCAGAGGCCAAGAGGAAAGGACGGGCCAAGCGGUUGAACAAAGAUGCGGAGGAACUGCUUGCGAGCAUGCAGCGGUUGGAUCUCACAACAGAAUGUACAGUGCCAGUAGGAACGGGCCUGGUGUUUGAUGAACGGAUGACAGAGUUUUGCUGUCCAUGGGAUGAAAGGGGGGGAAAAGUACCCUUGGUUUGGAUGUGGGUAAAUAUAUAA
rnacentral:lncRNA from 1 species